CCCUUAGAUGUUCUGGGCCGCACGCGUGCUACACUGAGUGGAUCAGCGGGUCAGGUUGCGCGAAAGCGUUUCCUAAUCUUUAAAUCCGCUCGUGAUGGGGAUUGACGGUUGCAAUUUUCUGUCAUUAACGAGGAAUACCUUGUAAGCGCGGGUCAUCAUCCCGCGCUGAAUACGUCCCUGCCCUUUGUACACACCGCCCGUCGCUCCUACCGAUUGAGUGGUCCGGUGAGGCUUUGGGAUCUGAGCGGAAAGAGCGUUUCGCUGUUUCUGCUCGGAAAACUCAGUCGAACCUUAUCAUUUAGAGGAAGGAGAAGUCGUAACA
rnacentral:rRNA from 1 species